rnacentral:rRNA from 1 species
AGAGUUUGAUCAUGGCUCAGAGCGAACGCUGGCGGCAGGCCUAACACAUGCAAGUCGAGCGCCGUAGCAAUACGGAGCGGCAGACGGGAGAGUAACACGUGGGAACGUGCCCUUCAGUUCGGAACAACCCAGGGAAACUUGGGCUAAUACCGGAUACGUCCGUAAGGAGAAAGAUUUAUCGCUGAAGGAUCGGCCCGCGUCUGAUUAGCUAGUUGGUGGGGUAAUGGCCCACCAAGGCGACGAUCAGUAGCUGGUCUGAGAGGAUGAUCAGCCUCACUGGGACUGAGACACGGCCCAGACUCCUACGGGAGGCAGCAGUGGGGAAUAUUGGACAAUGGGCGCAAGCCUGAUCCAGCCAUGCCGCGUGGGUGAUGAAGGCCCUAGGGUUGUAAAGCCCUUUCGGCGGGGAAGAUAAUGACGGUACCCGCAGAAGAAGCCCCGGCUAACUUCGUGCCAGCAGCCGCGGUAAUACGAAGGGGGCUAGCGUUGCUCGGAAUCACUGGGCGUAAAGGGUGCGUAGGCGGGUCUUUAAGUCAGGGGUGAAAUCCUGGAGCUCAACUCCAGAACUGCCUUUGAUACUGAGGAUCUUGAGUUCGGGAGAGGUGAGUGGAACUGCGAGUGUAGAGGUGAAAUUCGUAGAUAUUCGCAAGAACACCAGUGGCGAAGGCGGCUCACUGGCCCGAUACUGACGCUGAGGCACGAAAGCGUGGGGAGCAAACAGGAUUAGAUACCCCCGUAGUCC